UACAGAAAAGACUGUUGUUUCAAGAACUGUUAGGAAUGGACAGGCAAAGAGUCGUCAAUUCUCACCCCGUGCAGAGCAAUCCUGAGCAGCCUGGAUCUACAAGGUCAUCUGAACACUUAGGGCCAGCAUGAUGGAGGCUAUCGAAGAGUCCACCAGCACUUGUGACAAAUUAGUUUUUUUCAAAUAACACACAAAGACUGAAGCCAAUUGAACAGUACUGCACUUGACCAAACACAGCUGAGAAGCACCCAGUCUUGAGCACAAUGACAUCAUGUCUUGGACACAGUACAGCCAUGUGUUUGCAGCUUCCAAGGAUCAUAUUCAUCAGGGAAAGAGAGUUUAAAAGCUUCAGUCAUGCAAAAUACAGUUCUUACACUAUAGACUAGAGAUUGUCUAUCUUCUUAAGCCACUGUGUUUCAUGAUUUUUAAGAUUCUCAGCUGUUUUCAGAGCCUUUUAUGGGACGGUUCAGACAGAGUUAGAAGUCUCUUCAGCCCAUGUAACAUGACUUCUCAAAGCAUCUCUCUGAAACAGCUGUCUGAGAAGAGAAUGAGAGAUGUCAGUGCAGGAAGCAGAAAGCUGAAUAUGGAACUAUCUCCCUUUUGAUAACACCAGAACAAUGACAGAUCAUCGUGCCACAAGAUUAGUUUUUGUCCAUGAGACACAAGAGCAAUACAAUACAAUAAAUAAAAGCAAUGCUAACUGUAAGAGAUAAAACAUAAAAAAUAUGUACCUCUAUACAUAAUUGUUGAAGUAUAUUAUUUUGGAGUGUAUUACCAUGGAGGUAAAUUGGAUAUAGCUGCCUUAACAGAUAGCAGGGAUUAAGUUUUACCCAACAGUUCCAGAACCACAAAGGGAAGGAAGCUUUAAAAUGGGACACAUUCACCCUGAAAAUGUUGUCAGACCUAGCAGUGAAAAAUGAGCAUAUAUAGAAAGCUCAUCUAAACUGGGCUUCCUACUAACUUUUUCUGUUUUGGACAACAAUCUCUCACUUCUCCAGCAGUGUCUGUAGUAUUGCCAUUGUGGCACUGGCUGCCAGUAGCCAAGGGCUUUGUUAAUAGAAAAUGGAAUUAUUUUUACUCAGAACUCUUUAUUCUUACUGAGUGUGAUUUACUGUGUUGUUAUUGAGAAAGUCUCAUUGUCACCUGAUCAUAUCUUGUCACAACCAAUGACAUUACUGUCAGGGAGAAAGCUGCUCAUUCCAAGAAACAUUUGGUAAUAAAUUGAUUACUAGUUGAAGCUGAUACUUUACAGAAAGAGCAAUCAAUUACAUAUCUACCACUGCUGAAAGAGUCUUACAUUAGAAAGGCACAUAAAAUAAUCACUAAAUAAUUGCACAUGGUGGCUUGGGCUGGACUGUGUGAAAUCAACUUAGACACACACAGGAGUAUAAAGUGUUUUUCACACACUUUGAAAGGCACAGUGUAAAAAGCAAUGAUUGUAGAUGACCAUGCAUAAUAACUGGGUUGUGAAGAAGCUUCUUGUUCAACCUCAUUCUAAGCACGGCAUACUCAAUACUGUUUACACUCACAGAGUAAUAGUUAUUUUUAACAAUCUCUAAUGAGGUGAAAUAUCCCAGCCCCCACUUCACACUUAGUAUACAUUUUCAGAUCUACUAUUCCACUGCCUUCAUAAAUUCAGGAGGCCCCUGGGAGAUCUCUUCCUUGCCUUGCGACCGUGCCUGUGGGACAUACUGCUGUUCCUCCCCUGACACUAAUUCCACUGAUAUCAGGGGACAUACACACAGAAAUGCACCAGGAUACAAGCACCACAUCAAGAGAAAUAAAGACUAUAUGAAUUAUCUCUUUUCUUACCGCUGCCUUCCUGUUUAAGCCAUGAAGAGCCUUCCUUCAUCAGUGCCUUUAUUCCUGAAUGUCAAAACAGGCUGUGGGAUUGUCUGUCACCCCCUAGAGCAGGAGACUACAAGAAAGGUUCCCCGGUGAACAUCCCAGGCAUAGAUCCAACUGCUGAAUUAGGACAGAAGAGGAAAGACUUGUCUCUACCUGCUGCUGUGAGGAUUCACUUGUUCAUAUUUUUCUUCCUUUCCGGAAAGAAAGACUGCAGAAAAAUUCCUCCUCCCUUCUUUUCAGUCUUCCAUUUAUUCAGAAACUAGAUUGAGAAUUUGGGUCUGGCUGAUGCAAGAUCAGGCUUUCAAGUCCUUUGUUGCUCCACAAGCACCAAUUACCCGGGAGCAACAAAAAUCUCAGUCAUCAUCUGCUGCCAGAACAGGUGAUUGCUGAAUGAUCCUCUUAUAUAUACAUAUUCACUAUUGCUACCAUGGCCACAAAAGAAGUUCUAUCCUGUAUUCUUAUUUCCAAUUUAUUACAGAUAAUUUUCUUCCUUUUUUGUUUCCCUUGUGGAAAAUUAAGGCUCUUUACUUUUCUAUAAAGCGUCAUUGCCCAACACUUGUGAGAAAAGAAGACCAUAAAGCCCCUCCUUCCCAGAAAUGGCAAAAUCCAUGCUGACUCUUGUUCAUCACUGUUCUAUGUUUAAUUCCCUGAUUUUAAUACAAUGGUGUAGUUACUUUUUUUUUUUUUAACUAUUUGAGAAGCUAAAAGCAAUUCAGUUGAACUCAGAGGGCUCACCAGUGAAAUGAGUAAUGCAGAAUGCUUUGGAAGUGACACGUAGGAGAGGUGGGGGGGAAGGGGGAGCACCUGCAGAUUAUAAUGGUAAGGGCUGGAGGACAGGCAGGAAACAGAGAGGAAAGCUGAGAAGGUAGCUGUAGAUUUAGGAGGAGAGGAUGGAUUCAAACUAUGAUAGAGUUGCGAUGAGCACUCAAAUACUAGGAAGGGUCCUAGUAAAGGAUUUGAAGAUAGUACAUUCAAUUUGUAUACACAGCUGUUCCUAACAUGCCUCUGGAAAGAGACAAGAGCAGGGUCAAGAGGUUGAUGCGGUUUUUCAUAGAGUAAAACCGUUUAUUUUAGGUCCAGUUUCCAGAAGUGAUUUAACACUCCAUUUAAGUGCUAGUUUUUAAACAGUACAUGGAAAGACACCAUUCUCUG